rnacentral:rRNA from 1 species
AACGAACGCUGGCGGCAGGCCUAACACAUGCAAGUCGAACGGCAAAACAGGAGCUUGUUGUUCUGGAUAAUUGCCCGAGGGGUAAGUAACACGUGUACAACCUACCCUAGACUUUCGAAUAGGCUCACGAAACGGCGCCUAAUCCCGGAUACGAUACAGAGCUGCGUGGAUACCGUGUGGAAUUUUGUUCGGGCUGGGAUGAACUCGCGGCUUAUCAGCUUGUUGGUGGGGUAACGGCAGGCCAAGCCAACGACCGGUAGCCGGCCUGCGAGGGGGACCGGCCACACUAGGCCUGAGGUACGGCCCAGACUGGAACGGGAGGCAACGGUGGGGAGUAUUACACAAUGAGCGAGAGCCUGAUGCGGCGACGCCGGGUGGGGGAAGACGGCUUGCGGGUUGUGAAACUCAUCCCGUAGAGAAGAAGCGAUAGUGACGGUACCUGCAGAAGAAGCACCGGCUAACUACGUG